UUCAUCAUUUACAAGGGACAAGCCAAUUCUAUUUCAGUUCUUGCAGGGAUAUCCAUAUACUUCCCAGUUAAAAUUAGCAUACAUUUCUUUAGCAACAUAGAAGAUGUGAAUGUUCUGCAGUUAUGAUGGGGAUGGGGGAAAGGACUGUUUGGCACACCAGUUUGAACCUCUCCAUUACAGCUGCUGGUUAACUUUUGGGGGAGGAGAGAUCUGCUAUUGCUCUUUAGGGAUUACCUUUACAUUGAAGAAAUAACUGACGGUUAUGCACUAGUUACAUUGACUGAAAAUGUGUAAAACAGUUUCACUGCUUUGAAUCAGGAAACAAAUCUGCUGAAGGAAGCUGCAGGUGAUUCAUGCCUAAACAUCAGGUGAUAAACACAUCUGCAGAGUCUUCAACAGAGGAGUUUUGAUUCCUGACACUUGAAAUAGGUUAUUCUGGCCACUCAAUAAAGGAUGGAUUCAAGGGUACACAAUGAAGAUUGACCUGUGAGUGCUUCACCAAUGAAAUGCAGUGGAAGUGAUGGUGUGGCAACUUCCAGGCAACUCUUGAAAAGGACUGGCAAAAUUGGCUUCGACUCUAUUGGAAAGCUGCUUCUUGUGAUACUGGCUCUCAGAACCCAGAUUCCAUUUCGUGAGAAGCACAAGUCACAUGCAGAGGCCAUGAAGACAAGCUAAGAUUAUGGUCUAGAUUCGUAGCUACAUGCUCAGUGAUUGCCUGUACAAAUUGACAGUCCUGUGAAUGAGUCAUUUUGGUUGUCCAGCUUGUCAAGGACUCAGAUGACUCCAGCCUUCUCUGUAAUUCCAACGACAUGAGGGGCCCUAAGCUAAUACUUACUAGUUGAUCCCAUCCAACUCCAGAGAUGUUAAACAUAAUAGGAAAAUUUAAUUUGUAAAUUUGGGGAAUAAUUUAAUAUGUAGGAAAACAUAACUAGGAUGGGUAUCUUUAAAGCCACUUGCUUUCAUGGGUGUCUUCUCAGGACUCCAUAUUUAAUUUUUAUAUUAAAAACUUUGUAUUGUUCGCCAUGAGGAGGUCCCCUCCAAUUAUAUAAGCUUCAGAAACCCAGGAUUUGCCCACUCUCUUACUUUCUCUAACCUCUCUUCUCUCCGACUUUCUAGUCUGCUUUUCUCAUUCUCUCUUUACCCAACCCUGUACCCACCUUUUGAAUAGGCCUUGCUAAUUUAGAAAAUGCCAUUACUUUGUUGUUUUAAAAUAUGCAUCCCAAUGAAGUUAUUUACUUUAAUCUUUGAUCUCUUUGUUGGUUGCUUACUGGAACUGAAUUCUAGAUCCCUGUCUUUAGAGAAAACAACA